GGGUUGUGAGGUUAAGCGACUAAGCGUACACGGUGGAUGCCCUGGCAGUCAGAGGCGAUGAAGGACGUGCUAAUCUGCGAUAAGCGUCGGUGAGGUGAUAUGAACCGUUAUAACCGGCGAUUUCCGAAUGGGGAAACCCAGUGUGUUUCGACACACUAUCAUUAACUGAAUCCAUAGGUUAAUGAGGCGAACCGGGGGAACUGAAACAUCUAAGUACCCCGAGGAAAAGAAAUCAACCGAGAUUCCCCCAGUAGCGGCGAGCGAACGGGGAGGAGCCCAGAGCCUGAAUCAGUGUGUGUGUUAGUGGAAGCGUCUGGAAAGGCGYGCGAUACAGGGUGACAGCCCCGUACACAAAAAURCACAUAUUGUGAGCUCGAUGAGUAGGGCGGGACACGUGGUAUCCUGUCUGAAUAUGGGGGGACCAUCCUCCAAGGCUAAAUACUCCUGACUGACCGAUAGUGAACCAGUACCGUGAGGGAAAGGCGAAAAGAACCCCGGCGAGGGGAGUGAAAAAGAACCUGAAACCGUGUACGUACAAGCAGUGGGAGCCUCUUUAUGGGGUGACUGCGUACCUUUUGUAUAAUGGGUCAGCGACUUAUAUUCUGUAGCAAGGUUAACCGAAUAGGGGAGCCGAAGGGAAACCGAGUCUUAACUGGGCGUUAAGUUGCAGGGUAUAGACCCGAAACCCGGUGAUCUAGCCAUGGGCAGGUUGAAGGUUGGGUAACACUAACUGGAGGACCGAACCGACUAAUGUUGAAAAAUUAGCGGAUGACUUGUGGCUGGGGGUGAAAGGCCAAUCAAACCGGGAGAUAGCUGGUUCUCCCCGAAAGCUAUUUAGGUAGCGCCUCGUGAAUUCAUCUCCGGGGGUAGAGCACUGUUUCGGCAAGGGGGUCAUCCCGACUUACCAACCCGAUGCAAACUGCGAAUACCGGAGAAUGUUAUCACGGGAGACACACGGCGGGUGCUAACGUCCGUCGUGAAGAGGGAAACAACCCAGACCGCCAGCUAAGGUCCCAAAGUCAUGGUUAAGUGGGAAACGAUGUGGGAAGGCCCAGACAGCCAGGAUGUUGGCUUAGAAGCAGCCAUCAUUUAAAGAAAGCGUAAUAGCUCACUGGUCGAGUCGGCCUGCGCGGAAGAUGUAACGGGGCUAAACCAUGCACCGAAGCUGCGGCAGCGACACUAUGUGUUGUUGGGUAGGGGAGCGUUCUGUAAGCCUGUGAAGGUGGCCUGUGAGGGUUGCUGGAGGUAUCAGAAGUGCGAAUGCUGACAUAAGUAACGAUAAAGCGGGUGAAAAGCCCGCUCGCCGGAAGACCAAGGGUUCCUGUCCAACGUUAAUCGGGGCAGGGUGAGUCGACCCCUAAGGCGAGGCCGAAAGGCGUAGUCGAUGGGAAACAGGUUAAUAUUCCUGUACUUGGUGUUACUGCGAAGGGGGGACGGAGAAGGCUAUGUUGGCCGGGCGACGGUUGUCCCGGUUUAAGCGUGUAGGCUGGUUUUCCAGGCAAAUCCGGAAAACCAAGGCUGAGGCGUGAUGACGAGGCACUACGGUGCUGAAGCGACAAAUGCCCUGCUUCCAGGAAAAGCCUCUAAGCAUCAGGUAACAUCAAAUCGUACCCCAAACCGACACAGGUGGUCAGGUAGAGAAUACCAAGGCGCUUGAGAGAACUCGGGUGAAGGAACUAGGCAAAAUGGUGCCGUAACUUCGGGAGAAGGCACGCUGAUAUGUAGGUGAAGCGACUUGCUCGUGGAGCUGAAAUCAGUCGAAGAUACCAGCUGGCUGCAACUGUUUAUUAAAAACACAGCACUGUGCAAACACGAAAGUGGACGUAUACGGUGUGACGCCUGCCCGGUGCCGGAAGGUUAAUUGAUGGGGUUAGCGGUAACGCGAAGCUCUUGAUCGAAGCCCCGGUAAACGGCGGCCGUAACUAUAACGGUCCUAAGGUAGCGAAAUUCCUUGUCGGGUAAGUUCCGACCUGCACGAAUGGCGUAAUGAUGGCCAGGCUGUCUCCACCCGAGACUCAGUGAAAUUGAACUCGCUGUGAAGAUGCAGUGUACCCGCGGCAAGACGGAAAGACCCCGUGAACCUUUACUAUAGCUUGACACUGAACAUUGAGCCUUGAUGUGUAGGAUAGGUGGGAGGCUUUGAAGUGUGGACGCCAGUCUGCAUGGAGCCGACCUUGAAAUACCACCCUUUAAUGUUUGAUGUUCUAACGUUGGCCCGUAAUCCGGGUUGCGGACAGUGUCUGGUGGGUAGUUUGACUGGGGCGGUCUCCUCCUAAAGAGUAACGGAGGAGCACGAAGGUUGGCUAAUCCUGGUCGGACAUCAGGAGGUUAGUGCAAUGGCAUAAGCCAGCUUGACUGCGAGCGUGACGGCGCGAGCAGGUGCGAAAGCAGGUCAUAGUGAUCCGGUGGUUCUGAAUGGAAGGGCCAUCGCUCAACGGAUAAAAGGUACUCCGGGGAUAACAGGCUGAUACCGCCCAAGAGUUCAUAUCGACGGCGGUGUUUGGCACCUCGAUGUCGGCUCAUCACAUCCUGGGGCUGAAGUAGGUCCCAAGGGUAUGGCUGUUCGCCAUUUAAAGUGGUACGCGAGCUGGGUUUAGAACGUCGUGAGACAGUUCGGUCCCUAUCUGCCGUGGGCGCUGGAGAACUGAGGGGGGCUGCUCCUAGUACGAGAGGACCGGAGUGGACGCAUCACUGGUGUUCGGGUUGUCAUGCCAAUGGCACUGCCCGGUAGCUAAAUGCGGAAGAGAUAAGUGCUGAAAGCAUCUAAGCACGAAACUUGCCCCGAGAUGAGUUCUCCCUGAC
rnacentral:rRNA from 1 species